GAGCGAAUACGUCUAAUUGGUAAGGCAGCCGGCUGUAAACCGGUCACAGGUAACUCCUAUUGUUGGUUCAAGUCCAGCUUCUCUCA
rnacentral:tRNA from 1 species